AGCGAACGCUGGCGGCAGGCCUAACACAUGCAAGUCGAACGAACCUUUCGGGGUUAGUGGCGGACGGGUGAGUAACACGUGGGAACGUGCCUUUAAGUUCGGAAUACCUCAGGGAAACUUGUGCUAAUACCGAAUGUGCCCUUCGGGGGAAAGAUUUAUCGCCUUUAGAGCGGCCCGCGUCUGAUUAGCUAGUUGGUUGAGGUAAUGGCUCACCACGGCGACGAUCAGUAGCUGGUCUGUGAGGAUGAUCAGCCACAUUGGGACUGAGACACGGCCCAAACUCCUACGGGAAGCAGCAGUGGGGAAUCUUGCGCAAUGGGCGAAAGCCUGACGCAGCCAUGCCGCGUGAAUGAUGAAGGUCUUAGGAUUGUAAAAUUCUUUCACCGGGGACGAUAAUGACGGUACCCGGAGAAGAAGCCCCGGCUAACUUCGUG
rnacentral:rRNA from 1 species